AUGGGAAUGAGAGACACAAAAGUCAGAGAGUGGUGACACAGGGGCGGGGCUGGAGGUGGAGAUGGACCGAAGGGGACACACAAGGACUUCAGUUGCGUCCGUGAUGGUUUGUUGAACUUCAGCUGUGGGAACACAGCUGUCUGUGAUAAUAAUAUUAUCUACACUUUGGGGUACUAAAAUGCUUCACGUUAAGACUUCCAUUAAAGACCUAACGAACCCUGAAGCCCCAGGCAAAACUGCAUGGUUGUUCCCUAAGAGAGACCGUGCUUGGAAGGGCCAACAGUUUGGGGGUGGCAGAGCCAUUAAUCUCUGUCCUAGAAGAGCAUAGCAACGGAUGUACAGAGCAGAGUCCUGCGACCUGCUGACCAGAGCAUCCAAAGCAUAGUGCCUGAGUCCUGAGUGUUCAAGGCUGACAGAGUGGAAUCACAGGAAUGGCAAAUACUAGAUUUGAUCUUCUGAUGGGUAAGGGUGUCCUGAAGUACUGUGUAGAGAAGGUCACAGCUGCCUCCGAGCUUAUUAAAAAAGAACUCUGCAAUUGAUUAGCAAUGUCUGCCACAUCGUGAUUGAUUAGUGUUGUCUGUCAUGAGCAGGGGAGGAGACUCACAGUCCCCUCUGCCCCCAACCCCAUGAGCAUGUAACUACUUUGGGCUUUAGAGUCAGGUUUGAUUCUGACACCUGGCACUCUACUCAUCACCUGGAGCCUCAGGAUAUGCUGUGGAUAACCAAGAAAUCAGGAACAGGAUCAGGGGCAUCUCUGGAGCACUGGGUCGCAGGUUCGAUCCCCGACCCAGCACGGAAAAAAUGGCAGAGUGCAAGAAGAGGAAUGAGCGUUUUUUUCUAAUGAAAUACAUUUAAUGGGAAGAGGAUUGGAAGUUCCCGUCAUGACUCAGCAGUUAACGAAUCCGACUAGGAACCAUGAGGAUGUGGGUUCUAUCUCUGGCCUUGCUCAGUGGGUUAAGGAUCCAGCGUUGCCGUGAGCUGUGGUGUAGGUUGAAGGCACGGCUCAGAUCUUGUGUUGCUGUGGCUCUGACAUAGGCCGGUGGCUACACCUCCGAUUCAACCCCUAACCUGGGAAACUUCCAUAUGCCCCGGGUGCAGCCCUAAAAGGACAAAAGACAAAAAAAAAAAAAGGCAACAACAAAAAAAGAGAGGAUCGGAUUUCCCACUGUGGAGCAGUGAGUUAAGGAUCUGGCAUUGGUGCACCUAUGGCAUAUGUCGAAGCUGUGCUUGGAAUCAAAACCUGGCUCAGGAACCUCCAUAUGCUGCGGGUGCAGCCGAAAAAAAGAAAGAAAGAAAAAAAGAAAAGAGGGUUAAUGAUUGUGUCCAUGUGUAAGAAGCAGCACUUAAUAUUUGAUGAAAACUGCACAAAAUGC